rnacentral:rRNA from 1 species
CUACGUGCCAGCAGCCGCGGUAAUACGUAUGUCGCAAGCGUUAUCCGGAAUUAUUGGGCAUAAAGGGCAUCUAGGCGGCCAGAUAAGUCUGGGGUGAAAACUUGCGGCUCAACCGCAAGCCUGCCCUGGAAACUAUGUGGCUAGAGUACUGGAGAGGUGGACGGAACUGCACGAGUAGAGGUGAAAUUCGUAGAUAUGUGCAGGAAUGCCGAUGAUGAAGAUAGUUCACUGGACGGUAACUGACGCUGAAGUGCGAAAGCUAGGGGAGCAAACAGGAUUAGAUACCCUGGUAGUCCUAGCUGUAAACGAUGAUUACUGGGUGUGGGCAUGAAGAGUGUCCGUGCCGAAGCUAAUGCGAUAAGUAAUCCGCCUGGGGAGUACGGCCGCAAGGCUGAAACUCAAAGGAAUUGACGGGGACCCGCACAAGCGGUGGAGCAUGUGGUUUAAUUCGACGCAACGCGAGGAACCUUACCAGAUCUUGACAUCCCUCUGACCGUUCUAGAGAUAGAGCUUUC